rnacentral:misc_RNA from 1 species
AAAGUCGUAACAAGGUCUCCGUUGGUGAACCAGCGGAGGGAUCAUUACAGAGUUACUACUCCAAACCCAUUGUGAACCUUACCUAUGUUCUGUUGCCUCGGCGGCGUGGUCAGCGCCCCUCUGAAAAGAGGACGAUGCCCUCCCGCCGGCAGCACCAAACUCUUUGAAUUUUACAGCGGAUUACAGUUCUGAUUUGAAAACAAAAAAACAAGUUAAAACUUUCAACAACGGAUCUCUUGGUUCUG